rnacentral:lncRNA from 1 species
ACUUGGGGCCCUUUAGUUUCGCAUCUGGACCUUCGAUAUUCACAUCAGGAACAUCAACGUCCACUUUGGGUCCUGAGACAUCAAUGUCAGCCUUGGGCAGGUUCACAUCCACAUCUGGGCCCUCUCCUUUGAAGCCAGGCAUGCUGAACUUGGGCAUUUUCACCUUGGGCAUCUUCAGGUGCCAGUCUGGGCCUUGAACAUCCACAUCUGGGGCAUUAAUAUCCACUUUGGGGCCUUUAAUAUCCACGUCAGGAACUUUCAUGUCACCUUCCACUUUUGGCAGAGACACAUCCAUGUCACCCUUCACUUUGGGACCUUUCAGGUUAAGAUCAAUGUCAGGCAUGGAGAUCUUGGGGGCUUUGAUGUUCAUCUCAGGCAUUUUGAAUUUGGGACCUUUCAACUUUCCCUCUGGGCCUUCGAUAUUCACAUCUGGAACAUCAAUGUCCACCUUGGGUCCUGAGACAUCAAGGUCAGCCUUGGGCAGGUUCACAUCCACAUCUGGGCCCUCUCCUUUGAAGCCAGGCAUGCUGAAUUUGGGCAUUUUCACUUUGGGCAUUUUUAGGUGCCAGUCUGGGCCUUGAACCUCCACAUCUGGGACAUCAAUGUCCAUUUUGGCACUUUUAAGUUCAACAUCAGGAACUUUAAUCUCACUUUCAAC